rnacentral:rRNA from 1 species
UACGGGGGGAGCAAGCGUUGUUCGGAAUUACUGGGCGUAAAGGGCGCGUAGGCGGCCUACUAAGUCAGACGUGAAAUCCCCAGGCUUAACUUGGGAACUGCGUCUGAUACUGGGAGGCUUGAGUGCGGGAGAGGGAUGUGGAAUUCCAGGUGUAGCGGUGAAAUGCGUAGAUAUGCGGAGGAACACCGAUGGCGAAGGCAGGUCUCUGGGCUGACACUGACGCUCAUGCACGAAAGCGUGGGGGAGCAAACAGG